CCCUUAGAUGUUCUGGGCUGCACGCGCGCUACACUGAAGCGUUCAACGAGUAUUCACCUUGCCCGGGAGGGUUGGGUAAUCUUUUGAAAACGCUUCGUGAUGGGGAUAGAUUAUUGCAAUUAUUAAUCUUCAACGAGGAAUUCCUAGUAAGCGCGAGUCAUCAGCUCGUGCUGAUUACGUCCCUGCCCUUUGUACACACCGCCCGUCGCUCCUACCGAUUGAGUGAUCGGGUGAAUAAUUCGGACUGCAGCACUGCUUGGUCUCCAGGCUUUGCAGCGGAAAGUUUAGUGAACCUUAUCACUUAGAGGAAGGAGAAGUCGUAACA
rnacentral:rRNA from 1 species